rnacentral:misc_RNA from 1 species
AAAAUUUUUUGACAUGAUCCAUCACCGUGUCUUUGUAAAGUUAUUUGUUGCAGUUGUUUAUUUGAUAUGGCUUACUUCUGCAAUUCAUAUUGAUCAUUCUAUGCUCAAAUAGAACAAUAACGAAGCCGUAGUUUUACGUUUCUGGUACUAAAUAUACCAAAUUAAUAGCUUUAACAAGUGCAUCAGCCAUGAGAUCAUGGGAUGAAAUUAGAACAUUAUAGAUCAACCAAAAAUUACACAACCCCUUCAAUGUCUAAAAUA